rnacentral:ncRNA from 2 species
GGUUCAUCGAGAGUGGCGGAGGGACUGGCCCCAUGAUGCCACGGCAACCUCUCCCGCGGGGAGAACGGUGCCAAAUCCAGCGGACACUCGGUCCGAGAGAUGAAGC